CUCUAUGAGCGUGUAUCUGAUUCGGCUUUGGCAUCCUCGUGGGGAACGUAACUGUGCUUGAUUGCAUGGUGCGGAAUUCACGACUUUUACUUUGAGGAAAUUAGAGUGUUCACGGCAGGCAAGCGCCUUGAAUACAUUAGCAUGGAAUAAUAAUAUAGGACUUGUGUUCUAUUUUGUUGGUUUCUAGGACAUAAGUAAUGAUUAAUAGGGAUAAUUGGGGGCAUUUGUAUUAACGCGUCAGAGGUGGAAUUCUUGGAUUGCGUUACGACAAACUACUGCGAAAGCAUUUGCCAAGGAUGUUUUCAUUGAUCAAGAACGAAAGUAUGGGGAUCGAAGAUGAUUAGAUACCGUCGUAGUCUAUACCAUAAACUAUGCCGACUAGAGAUUGGAGGUCGUUCUUUCCAUGACUCCUUCAGCACCUUAUGAGAAAUCAAAGUCUUUGGGUUCCGGGGGGAGUAUGGUCGCAAGGCUGAAACUUAAAGGAAUUGACGGAAGGGCACCACCAGGAGUGGAGCCUGCGGCUUAAUUUGACUCAACACGGGAAAACUCACCAGGUCCAGACAUAGUAAGGAUUGACAGAUUGAUAGCUCUU
rnacentral:rRNA from 1 species